GACGAACGCUGGCGGCGCGCCUAACACAUGCAAGUCGAACGAGCGAGAGAGAGCUUGCUUUCUUGAGCGAGUGGCGAACGGGUGAGUAACGCGUGAGGAACCUGCCUCAAAGAGGGGGACAACAGUUGGAAACGACUGCUAAUACCGCAUAAGCCCACGGUGCCGCAUGGCACAGAGGGAAAAGGAGCAAUCCGCUUUGAGAUGGCCUCGCGUCCGAUUAGCUAGUUGGUGAGGUAACGGCUCACCAAGGCGACGAUCGGUAGCCGGACUGAGAGGUUGAACGGCCACAUUGGGACUGAGACACGGCCCAGACUCCUACGGGAGGCAGCAGUGGGGAAUAUUGCACAAUGGGGGAAACCCUGAUGCAGCGACGCCGCGUGGAGGAAGAAGGUCUUCGGAUUGUAAACUCCUGUUGUUGGGGAAGAUAAUGACGGUACCCAACAAGGAAGUGACGGCUAACUACGUG
rnacentral:rRNA from 1 species